rnacentral:rRNA from 1 species
GCUCAGAACGAACGCUGGCGGCAGGCUUAACACAUGCAAGUCGAGGGGUAACAGAGAAAGCUUGCUUUCUGCUGACGACCGGCGCACGGGUGCGUAACGCGUAUGCAACCUACCUUAUACUGGGGAAUAGCCCGAAGAAAUUCGGAUUAAUGCCCCAUAGUAUUGUCGAUUCGCAUGUUUUGACAAUUAAAGAUUACGGUAUAAGAUGGGCAUGCGUCCCAUUAGCUAGAUGGUAAGGUAACGGCUUACCAUGGCAACGAUGGGUAGGGGGCCUGAGAGGGUGAUCCCCCACACUGGUACUGAGACACGGACCAGACUCCUACGGGAGGCAGCAGUGAGGAAUAUUGGUCAAUGGAGGCAACUCUGAACCAGCCAUGCCGCGUGCAGGAAGACGGUCCUAUGGAUUGUAAACUGCUUUUAUUUGGGAAUAAACCUGGGUACGUGUACCCAGCUGAAUGUACCAAACGAAUAAGCACCGGCUAACUCCGUGCCAGCAGCCGCGGUAAUACG